UACGGGGGGAGCAAGCGUUGUUCGGAUUUACUGGGCGUAAAGGGCGCGUAGGCGGGAUGGCAAGUCAGUCGUGAAAUCUCUCGGCUCAACCGAGAAACGUCGGCUGAUACUGCCGUUCUUGAGGGAUGCAGAGGAGACUGGAAUUCCCGGUGUAGCGGUGAAAUGUGUAGGGAUCGGGAGGAACACCGGUGGCGAAGGCGGGUCUCUGGGCAUCUCCUGACGCUGAGGCGCGAAAGCGUGGGGAGCAAACGGG
rnacentral:rRNA from 1 species